GAUGAAUAACGCAGCGAAAUGCGAUAAGUAAUGUGAAUUGCAGAAUUCAGUGAAUCAUCGAAUCUUUGAACGCACAUUGCGCCCACCAGCACUCUGGCGGGCAUGCCUGUUCGAGCGUCAUUUCAACCAUCAAGCCCCCAGGGGCUUGUGCUGGGGCCCUGCGGCUGCCCGCAGGCCCUGAAAACCAGUGGCGGGCUCGCUAGUCACACCGAGCGCAGUAGCACAUCUCGCUCAGGGCGUGCGGCGGGCUCCUGCCGUGAAACCCCCCACUGUAACCCCAAAGGUUGACCUCGGAUCAGGUAGGAAUACCCGCUGAACUUAAGCAUAUCAAUAAGCGGAGGA
rnacentral:misc_RNA from 1 species